rnacentral:rRNA from 1 species
GGUGAACGCUGGCGGCGUGCCUAAUACAUGCAAGUCGAGCGAACAGACGAGGAGCUUGCUCCUCUGACGUUAGCGGCGGACGGGUGAGUAACACGUGGAUAACCUACCUAUAAGACUGGGAUAACUUCGGGAAACCGGAGCUAAUACCGGAUAAUAUAUUGAACCGCAUGGUUCAAUAGUGAAAGACGGUUUUGCCGUCACUUAUAGAUGGAUCCGCGCCGCAUUAGCUAGUUGGUAAGGUAACGGCUUACCAAGGCAACGAUGCGUAGCCGACCUGAGAGGGUGAUCGGCCACACUGGAACUGAGACACGGUCCAGACUCCUACGGGAGGCAGCAGUAGGGAAUCUUUCGCAAUGGGCGAAAGCCUGACGGAGCAACGCCGCGUGAGUGAUGAAGGUCUUCGGAUCGUAAAACUCUGUUAUUAGGGAAGAACAAAUGUGUAAGUAACUAUGCACGUCUUGACGGUACCUAAUCAGAAAGCCACGGCUAACUACGUG